rnacentral:sRNA from 1 species
UCAACUACUAGACGUUUCCACACAAGCACCACCUAGUCGCUACUGGAGCUGAAAUCCUCUAAUUAUUGUUUCUGAUAGGUAACUGUAGAAGGGUUAGAAUUAAUUUUUUUUUAAAGGAUGCAAUUUAAAAUAAUUAAAUAACUAAAGCUUAUGCCUAAAAAAUUAUAAGAUUAUGUUCUUUCAUUAGUAAACAUUUUUUUUAAUUUAUAAGAGUCACAACCAAUAAAUAAGAUAUCAGCAAAAGUAUUGUUACUGGAGGUUCGUACAAUAACAAAAAAGUUAAUAAUAGUCUUUUUAAACAGAGACAUGCUUUAUCUUUAUUUACAGCCACAGAAUCUACCCAGAAAUACAAGCAGAUAUCAACCAGUGCAACUAAUGCCAAAGCCUCAAACACUACUAGACUUAUCAAGACUACAAAUCCAACCUAUUCAACUAAUGCUGAUGCCCCAAACACAACCAGACGUAACAAGACUACUGACCCAACCUUUUCAAUUAAUGCCAAAGGUA